rnacentral:rRNA from 1 species
UACGGGGGGGGCAAGCGUUGUUCGGAAUCACUGGGCGUAAAGGGUGCGUAGGCGGGUCUUUAAGUCAGGGGUGAAAUCCUGGAGCUCAACUCCAGAACUGCCUUUGAUACUGAGAUCUUGAGUCGGGAGAGGUGAGUGGAACUCCGAGUGUAGAGGUGAAAUUCGUAGAUAUUCGGAAGAACACCGGUGGCGAAGGCGGGUCUCUGGGCCGAUACUGACGCUGAGGAGCGAAAGCGUGGGGAGCGAACAGG